rnacentral:misc_RNA from 1 species
AAUUCUCAACCUCACCCAUUUUGUCAUGAAGUGGUCUGUGUAGGCUUGGAUGUGGGGGCUUGCAGGUCCGACCUUUGGGUUGGUCUGCUCCUCUGAAAUGCAUUAGUGGGUUGUGCCCCUAAUCUAUUGGUGUGAUAAUUAUCUACGCCGUGGAUCAGGAUUGGCGAUCAAUGACCUGCUCAUAACCGUCCGUCUCGGACAGCUUUGACAU